UACGAAGGGGGCUAGCGUUGCUCGGAAUUACUGGGCGUAAAGCGCACGUAGGCGGCUUUCUAAAGGUCGGGGGGUGAAAACUCCUGGAGCUCAACUCCAGAACUGCCUUCGAUACUGGAAAGCUCGAGUCCGGGAGAGGUGAGUGGAACUGCGAGUGUAAGAGGUGAAAUUCGUAGAUAUUCGCAAGAACACCAGUGGCGAAGGCGGC
rnacentral:rRNA from 1 species